AACACCAUUGCUCAUUCAUCCUUGCAACUCUUUUCAGUGGCACACAACAAAUCUUAGAAGAACCAUGAAGUUCAUCUGUCUUUUCUUUGCUGUGGUCUUCCUUGGUAGAGCCCAGGCUGAUGAAGCCGAUGUGGAUCAAGGGGAAGAGCAAGACUUGAGUGGUCCUCAGGACCAAAACCCAGCUUUGCCAGCUGGUUAUGAUGAAGCUUUGAAGAAUGAAGGAAACAUGCAACGGAGGAAUGGUACCGGUCAAUGUAAGAGUGGUGGCCAUAAAUACUUUUUCGGGCAUCUGCCCUUGUGGAUCUGUGCCCCCUGGAAAAUGCAGUUCUUUCGAGAGCUGUUGUAAAGAAGUUCCCCUCCCAAGUAAUCCCAUCGUAUGCAAUUCUAUGGGGGGGAGAUGCCGUCACAAGUGUGGUCUCUCUGAGAAGUAUGUUGGACGAUGCUUUGCAACUAUGUCCUGCUGUGUGCGUUUUCAGUAGAGAGCAUGCGCGAGAAAGAGGCAAGAAAGACCAACAGCGUAUGAUCGGAAGAGAGGAAGAAACCGAUCGAGAUGAAUUAAUGCUAAAUCAUUCCUUUUCAAUUAAAAUUGAGUUUGCAUCCAAUCAUUCUUACUCCAGGGACUCAAUUACUCCUAGUUAUCACUAGCGCUGAACUACCACUGCUGUUGUAACUACUACUACAAACUCUCCCUGUGCCCCGAGUUAUCCGAAAAAGUCUCAAUUUUCUUGAUUUCUUGAUUUGAUUUUAUUUAUUUUAUUUCUAUGCAACUGUUCAUCCACAUGAAUCUCAAAGCAGCUUUGAAAGAGCAAAUAACAAUAACAGAACAGAACAUCACAAAUCAUAUAGAAUGAUGAACAAAUCAGUAAAACACUAUUAACAAAACAACAACAACAAAAAGCAAAGCAGCAUAAUCACAACAGAAGUCAUAUUAUGGGAUUCACGAAGUACUACAGCAUUCACAAUCUAUAAAACAAUCUUAACAGCAUUAACAAAAUAGCAAACAAAAAAAUAAACUAAGCCCUGUUGAAUUCAUACACAAACUCUUCUCAAAUCUCAUGAUUUCAGCUCAUUAAAAUACACAUCGACAUCUUGCCCAUGGCAGGAACUCCUUUCUGAAGGUUUAUUGGGUUGGAUGUG